rnacentral:rRNA from 1 species
AUUGAACGCUGGCGGCAGGCCUAACACAUGCAAGUCGAGCGAGCGGCGGAAGGGGGAGUAAUGUCUGGGAAACUGCCUGAUGGAUGGGGAUAACUACUGGAAACAGUAGCUAAUACCGCACACCCUACGAUAUGCCCAGAUCGGAUUAGCUAGUAUGUGGGGGAACGGCUCACAUAGGCGACGAUCCCUAGCUGGUCUGAGAGGAUGACCAGCCACACGGGAACGGAGACACGGUCCAGACUCCUACGGGAGGCAGCAGUGGGGAAUAUUGCACAAUGGGCGCAAGCCUGAUGCAGCCAUGCCGCGUGUGUGAAGAAGGCCUUCGGGUUGUAAAGCACUUUCAGCGGGGAGGCGUUACCCGCAGAAGAAGCACCGGCUAACUCCGUGCCAGCAGCCGCGGUAAUUC